GUGCCAGCAGGCCGCGGUAAUACGGAGGGUGCAAGCGUUACUCGGAAUCACUGGGCGUAAAGAGCGUGUAGGCGGGUAUAUAAGUCAGAAGUGAAAUCCAAUAGCUCAACUAUUGAACUGCUUUUGAAACUGUAUACCUAGAAUGUGGGAGAGGUAGAUGGAAUUUCUGGUGUAGGGGUAAAAUCCGUAGAGAUCAGAAGGAAUACCGAUUGCGAAGGCGAUCUACUGGAACAUUAUUGACGCUGAGACGCGAAAGCGUGGGGAGCAAACAGGAUUAGAUACCCUGGUAGUCCACGCCCUAAACGAUGUACACUAGUUGUUGUGAGGCUCGACCUUGCAGUAAUGCAGUUAACACAUUAAGUGUACCGCCUGGGGAGUACGGUCGCAAGAUUAAAACUCAAAGGAAUAGACGGGGACCCGCACAAGCGGUGGAGCAUGUGGUUUAAUUCGACGAUACACGAAGAACCUUACCUGGACUUGACAUAGUAAGAACUUUCUAGAGAUAGAUUGGUGUCUGCUUGCAGAAACUUAUAUACAGGUGCUGCACGGCUGUCGUCAGCUCGUGUCGUGAGAUGUUGGGUUAAGUCCCGCAACGAGCGCAACCCUCGUCCUUAGUUGCUAACAGUUCGGCUGAGAACUCUAAGGAGACUGCCUACGCAAGUAGGAGGAAGGUGAGGACGACGUCNAGUCAUCAUGGCCCUUACGUCCAGGGCUACACACGUGCUACAAUGGGGUAUACAAAGAGCAGCAAUACGGUGACGNGGAGCAAAUCUCAAAAAAUUUCCCC
rnacentral:rRNA from 1 species